rnacentral:other from 1 species
AGACCUCUGCGAUGUUCGAUACCGGACCAAAUUUUGCCGAUCCGACUACAGUCCGCAGGGAUUCGUGAGUCUGCAACAGCGUGUAUAUCUGCGCUUGGUCCAUUGAGGCCAACUGACAGCUCCCACAAGUUGUGGCGGCGAUGCCCACCUAGAUAAGCGGAUCUGUGCAACAUGGUCCCCCGGCAUUCUGCGGAGGUUUC